rnacentral:rRNA from 1 species
UGACGGGUAGCCGGCCUGAGAGGGUGACCGGCCACAUUGGGACUGAGAUACGGCCCAGACUCCUACGGGAGGCAGCAGUGAGGAAUCUUGCGCAAUGGGCGAAAGCCUGACGCAGCCACGCCGCGUGCCGGAAGACGGCCCUAUGGGUUGUAAACGGCUUUUGAGGGGGAAGAACGGCCGGGUUUCGACCUGGAUUGACGGUACCCCUUGAAUAAGCACCGGCUAACUCCGUGCCAGCAGCCGCGGUAAUACGGAGG